GAUGAAGAACGUAGCGAAAUGCGAUAAGUAAUGCGAAUUGCAGAUUUCAGUGAGUCAUCGAAUCUUUGAACGCACAUUGCGCCCGCCAGUAUUCUGGCGGGCAUGCCUGUUCGAGCGUCAUUUCAACCAUCAAGCCCCCGGGCUUGCGUUGGGGCCCUGCGGCUGCCGCAGGCCCCGAAAAGCAGUGGCGGGCUCGCUGUCACACCGAGCGCAGUAGCGAUUCUCGCUCCGGGCGUCGGCGGCGGGCACCGGCCAUGAAACCCCCCCACAUCCACAAGGUUGACCUCGGAUCAGGUAGGAAUACCCGCUGAACUUAAGCAUAUCAAUAAGCGGAGGA
rnacentral:misc_RNA from 1 species